ensembl:lncRNA
UCCACCGCCCGUCGAGGGUGGGGGUGGGGGGCGAAAGGCUCCGUGGGCACGAGCUGGUUCCCACGUGGCUGCAGUCGUCGCAGCAGGGCUCCUAGGGUGGCUGCAAACGUGGAGGCGGCCCAGACCGUGGGCCUGCCGUGGGAGGUGGAGGCAUGGAGGCUGGGUUAGGGGUCUCAGUAACCCCUACUCCAGCACCCAGGUCUUCUCUGGUUCCCUCGCGACGGUGGCCUGCCCCGGUGUUGUGUUCCCCAGAGGUGAUGUUCCUUAUCAGGAGAGAGGAAAGAAGCUGCCAUCCCUCCUCCUCCUUAUGGCCAGGGCAUGUGCCAAACUGCCUAUGAAUUGACUGUGGGUCUCUGCUCAGUGUUCCUAGCCACCAUUCUCAGGGAAGGGGUGGAAGAGGAGUGGGCAGGAGCAGAGGAAAGGACAUUGCUGACCCAGGGAAGCUGAAGCCCAGGCCAACUGGAAGCGACCCAGCCCAUUGUCUGGACCACAAGUGCCCCUUUCUUGUCUGAGCACAAUGCCUCGACUAUGCUGGAUGGCAAUCAGGUUGGCUGGCAGAGACACCAGUGCCACAUGGAGGUGCCUGGUCCUCCAGAAGAACUCCUCUGGGAGGAGAAUGGCCGCUGAGUCAGAGGAAAUGACCUCUGGCUCCCCUCCCAACCUUCCCUCAAUGGGUAGUAAGCUGGAGAGAGAAAUGGCCCCCCUAUCAGCUUUUCAGGGCCUGACUCAGCAGAUACCAACCCCAACCACAAGCUUGGGAUACAGCAUCUAUGCGACCACAACCACGCUUGGGUUUCCUUUCCUAUCUAAGGAAGUAUCCUGGUCACCAGAGGUGACAGAUAUAUGAGCGCUUGGUUUGCUUAUAACCCACCCUGCGAGGGCUGAGGCUGGGUGAUGGCUUCUUUCUCAGUGACAUUUUGGUGAAUGACCGACAUUUCCCAGGAAUGAAUUGGAUGCAGACCCAGCUCCUGAGGUGUCACUGUCCUACAGCUAAAAGACCAAACAGGUAACUGGACACCUCUAGUCAUUCCUUCAAGAAGUGGCUUUUGAGCUACCAUGUGCCAGUUGAUCAAAAGAAAUGAAGCCUCUGGUGUUGGACACAAACUACUCCAGAACUUUCUGGUCACUGGGCUUCAUUAUCUUCCAGCUGUUGGGGUGAGGUGGCUCAGGGAUGACUUAUCCAGAAAAGAAUGACCAGAGCCCAAGCAACCUUGCAGGGGCUCAUCCUGAAGGCUCUGAUCUGGGUCCCAGGAUGCUCCUUUGGAUCAGCAACACUGGCUCAGCAUCUGUUGGGAAUCUGUUAGAAAUGCAAACUCUGAGGUCCCACCCAGACCUACUGAAUCAAAUGCUGUGAGUGGAGCCCAGCCUUCCAGUGGUUAGGAUGCUUGUUCAAGUUUGAGAGACACCAAUUAGAAGCAUGUUAAGGCCAGGAUUGUCUCCUGAAAUGGUGGGAAAGCAUUGGAGGGUUCAGAAAGGAGAGAGCCUAGGGAAAAUAGGCAAUGUGGAGAACUGGUUGACUGGGCAGGGGUCCGGCAUGAUGGUGCAAUGGUAAAAAGUAAUAGUGACCUGGCCAGGGUACUGGCAAGAGGACCAAAGGGUGUGGAUACUACCCAGAGAAUAGGAACAACAGGCUUUCGUAUCUGGAGUGAAGGGUGGGCCCAUUGCUGAAAUAAAGGACCCAGUAGCAGAUCUUUGGAGUCUAAA